AACGGAGGGUGCAAGCAUUAAUCGGAUUUAUUGGGCGUAAAGGGCGCGUAGGCUGGUUUGUAAGUCAGAUGUGAAAUCCCGGGGCUCAACCUCGGAACAGCAUUUGAAACUGCAUACCUAGAGGGUAGGCGGAGAAAACGGAAUUCCACAAGUAGCGGUGAAAUGCGUAGAUAUGUGGAAGAACACCGGUGGCGAAGGCGGUUUUCUAGCUUACUCCUGACGCUGAGGCGCGAAAGCAAGGGGAUCAAACAGG
rnacentral:rRNA from 1 species